ensembl:lncRNA
CCUUCCCCUAGCUCCAGGCACCCGGCAGAAGUGCUCGGGAGCUGUUCCUCGAUGCGGCUGCACGGCGUCCCGAUGUAUCAUGGAAGCAGCUUAAGACGGGAGUGGGAAGGGCAAAAACAUGCUCCAGACACAUCAACCAAGAUAAACUCUUGAAAUUUUGCUAUAGGUCUUCAGAGAUGAUUAAGAUGAAGUCAUCGGGUGGGCCCUAAUCCAAUAGGACUGUGUGUUUAUAAAAUGGGGAGAUUUGGACACAGAAACACACACACACACACACUGGGAGAACGCCAUGUGAAGAUGAAGGCAGAGAUUGGACUGAUGCUUCUACAAACCAAGGAACGCCAAAAACUGCCAGCAAACCACCAGGAGCUAGGAGAGAGGCGUGGAACAAAGGCUCCCUCACAGCUGUCAAGAGAACCAGGCUGCCAACACCCUGAUCUUGGACUUCUAACCCCAGAGCUGUGAUACAACAAAUAGCUGUUGUUUAAGCCACACAGUUUGUGGUAGUCGCAGUCCUACAGACUAAAAUACCAGGUAGUCAAGAAGUAGAAACGCAGCAGAUAGAAUAAAUAACUCAGCAGUCUUAAAUUUUUGACUUGGGAGAACCAUUAUGUUUGUUUAUUAAUAACAUUAAUUUCAGUCUUUUUUCAAAAAAUUUUUUUAUUGUGGUCUAAAUAGUUUAUAACAUUGUGAAAUUUCAGCAAUACAUUAAUAUUUGUCAAACACCAUAUAAGUGUGCCCCUGCACUCCUUGUGCCCACCUUCCCCCUCCUUUCCUCUGGUAACCACUAAAUUGUUCUCUUUGUCUGAAGGUUGUUUAUAUCCCACAUGUGAGUGAAAUCAUACGGUGUUUGUCUUUCUCUAUCUGGCUUAUUUUGCUUGACAUGAUGCCCUCAAGGUCCAUCCAUGUGGCUGUGAAUGGGACAAUUAUGUCUUUUCUUAUGGCUGAGUAGUAUUCCAUUGUAUAUAUAUACACACACCACAUCUUCUUUACCCGCUGGGCACUUGGGUUGCUGCCACAUCUUGGCUAUUGUGAAUAAUGCUGCAAUGAACAUAGGGGUACAUAAGUCUCUUUGUAUUAGUGAUUUCAAGUUCUUUGGAUAAAUACCCAGUAGUGGGAUAGCUGGGUCAUAUGGUAAUUCUGUUUUUAAUUUUUUGAGAAAUCUCCAUACUGUUUUCCAAAGUGGCUGCACCAGUUUGCAUUCUCACCAGCAGUGGAUGAGGGUUCUCUUUUCUUCACAACCUCUCCAACAUUUAUUAUUUUUUGUCUUGAUGAUUAUAGCCAUUCUAAAUGGGUGUACGGUGAUAUCUAAGUGUAGUUUUGAUUUGCAUCCCCUGAUGAUUAGUGAUCUUUUCAUGUGCCUAUAGCCAUUUGUAUAUCUUCUUUGGAAAAAUGUCUGUUCAUAUCCUCUGCCCACUUUUUGAUUGGGUUGUUUAUUCUUUUGUAGUUCAAUUGUGUUAGUUGUUUAUGUAUAGUGGAGAUUAACCCUUUAUUGGAUUUAUGAUUAGCAAAUAUUUUCUCCCAGUUGUUGGGUUGUUUUUUCAUUUUGAUCUUGGUUUCUUUUGCCUUGCAGAAGCUCUUUAGUAUGAUAAAGUCCCACUUGUUUAUUUUUUCUUUUGUUUCCCCUGUCUGAGUGGACAUCAACAUUAACUUCAUUCUUAACAUGAAUUUUUUGCCUUAAUAAGUUCCUGCAAUUAAAGCAACACAAAGGGGCCA